AAAUUGGCGUUUUUCAACGCCACAAUGAUAACACUGCGAGUUUGC
rfam:Musca domestica strain aabys unplaced genomic scaffold Scaffold19870, whole genome shotgun sequence.